UACGUAGGGACCAAGCGUUGUUCGGAUUCAUUGGGCGUAAAGGGUGCGUAGGUGGCGCUGUAAGUCGGGUGUGAAAUUUCGGAGCUUAACUCCGAAACUGCAUUCGAUACUGCGGUGCUUGAGGACUGGAGAGGAGACUGGAAUUCAUGGUGUAGCAGUGAAAUGCGUAGAGAUCAUGAGGAAGACCAGUGGCGAAGGCGGGUCUCUGGACAGUUCCUGACACUGAGGCACGAAGGCCAGGGGAGCAAACGGG
rnacentral:rRNA from 1 species